GACGAACGCUGGCGGCGUGCCUAAUACAUGCAAGUAGAACGCUGAAGGAGGAGCUUGCUUCUCUGGAUGAGUUGCGAACGGGUGAGUAACGCGUAGGUAACCUGCCUGGUAGCGGGGGAUAACUAUUGGAAACGAUAGCUAAUACCGCAUAAGAGUAGAUGUUGCAUGACAUUUACUUAAAAGGUGCAAUUGCAUCACUACCAGAUGGACCUGCGUUGUAUUAGCUAGUUGGUGAGGUAACGGCUCACCAAGGCAACGAUACAUAGCCGACCUGAGAGGGUGAUCGGCCACACUGGGACUGAGACACGGCCCAGACUCCUACGGGAGGCAGCAGUAGGGAAUCUUCGGCAAUGGACGGAAGUCUGACCGAGCAACGCCGCGUGAGGGAAGAAGGUUGUCGGAUCGUAAAGCUCUGUUGUAAGAGAAGAACGAGUGUGAGAGUGGAAAGUUCACACUGUGACGGUAUCUGACCAGAAAGGGACGGCUAACUACGUG
rnacentral:rRNA from 1 species